UACGAAGGGGGCUAGCGUUGCUCGGAAUUACUGGGCGUAAAGGGCGCGUAGGCGGAUGUUUAAGUCGGGGGUGAAAGCCCGGGGCUCAACCUCGGAAUUGCCUUCGAUACUGGACAUCUUGAGUACGGGAGAGGUGAGUGGAACUCCGAGUGUAGAGGUGAAAUUCGUAGAUAUUCGGAAGAACUCCAGUGGCGAAGGCGACUCACUGGCCCGUUACUGACGCUGAGGCGCGAAAGCGUGGGGAGCAAACAGG
rnacentral:rRNA from 1 species